UACGGGGGGGGGCAAGCGUUGUUCGGAAUUACUGGGCGUAAAGGGCUCGUAGGCGGCCAACUAAGUCAGACGUGAAAUCCCUCGGCUUAACCGGGGAACUGCGUCUGAUACUGGAUGGCUAGAGUGUGGGAGAGGGAUGCGGAAUUCCAGGUGUAGCGGUGAAAUGCGUAGAUAUCUGGAGGAACACCGGUGGCGAAGGCGGCAUCCUGGACCACGACUGACGCUGAGUGAGCGAAAGCCAGGGAGCAAAGCGGGG
rnacentral:rRNA from 1 species